CACGUAGGGCGCAAGCGUUGUCCGGAAUUAUUGGGCGUAAAGAGCUCGUAGGUGGUUUGUUACGUCCGCUGUGAAAUCCUAGGGCUUAACCCUGGGCUUGCAGUGGAUACGGGCAGACUAGAGGUAGGUAGGGGAGAAUGGAAUUCCUGGUGUAGCGGUGAAAUGCGCAGAUAUCAGGAGGAACACCGGUGGCGAAGGCGGGUCUCGUGGGCCGAUACUGACGCUGAGGAGCGAAAGCGUGGGGAGCGAACAGG
rnacentral:rRNA from 1 species